CCUACGGGUGGCUGCAGUGGGGAAUAUUGCACAAUGGGGGAAACCCUGAUGCAGCGACGCCGCGUGAGUGAAGAAGUAAUUCGUUAUGUAAAGCUCUAUCAGCAGGGAAGAAAAUGACGGUACCUGAGUAAGAAGCACCGGCUAACUACGUGACAGCAGCCGGGGGAAUACGGAGGGGGCAAGCGUUAACCGGAUUUACUGGGUGUAAAGGGAGCGUAGACGGCAGUGCAAGUUGGGCGUGAAAGGUGGGGGCUCAACCCCCGGACUGCUCUGGAAACUGUAGGGCUGGAGUGCAGGAGAGGUAAGUGGAAUUCCUGGUGUAGCGGUGAAAUGCGUAGAUAUUAGGAGGAACACCAGUGGCGAAGGCAGCUUACCGGACUGUAACUGACGUUGAGGCUCGAAAGCGUGGGGAGCAAACAGGAUUAGAUACCCCUGUAGUC
rnacentral:rRNA from 1 species